rnacentral:lncRNA from 1 species
UACAUCUCUUUAUAAUUUCUUAGUAGGAAUAAGUCUAAUUAAUAGAUAACAUAAUCACAAAACGAAAUAAGCAUGAUAGUACAACAAAACACAUCCCGACUCAGCCCGAAAUCGCGAUGUCACAAGUCAUGAGCUACUACAUAAUUUACUAAUAUUUUACAAGUCUGGAAAUAUCAUAAUAACAAAGAUAAGGAAGAAAACGGGGUUGAGACAUCAACAGCUACCUCAGUACUCCUAGUCACCGCGUGGUCUGGAAAGAAUCAGCGCUCAGGAGUGAACUCAGCUCAGCCUGUAUCUGCACAUAUGGUGUAGGGAGUAAUGUAAGUACUCCGACUCAGUGAGUAUUGAAUGCAUGAGAUCUCAUAAAGGCACAAUAUAGCUCUAUCUCAAGCAGUAAAAUUAGUUAUACAGUAAAACAGUGAGUAUCAGAUAAUUCUCCUUUUAAAACAGUAAAGAAAAUUAAUUUCAACAGUGAAGAAUAAUCAAAGCUUGCCCGUCGGGCUCAAUAUCAAACUCACAGUACAGUAUCAGCCCCAGUGGCUCACUUCCAACUCACCAGCAGACAACAUCAGCCCCUCGAGCUCACUCCGAACUCACCAGCACACAAACAACAGCCUCUUGGGCCCACUCCCAACUCAUCUGGGUACCUUGCGCUCACUAGGGGUGUGUACAGACUCCGAAGGGGCUCCUACAACCCAAGCGCAAUAUCAAUAGGCCUGAAAUCCUUUACACAUCACACACGAGGCCUGAAAGCCUCCUCAUAACACUGGAGGCCUGGAAGCCUCCUCACAUAACACUCGAGGCCUGAAAGCCUCCUCAACAUAUCCUCACAGAUGGCCCUUGGCCUCAAUCAGUCCAGAAAAUAAUCAUAAGCCUCUNNNNNNNNNNNNNNNNNNNNNNNNNNNNNNNNNNNNNGAUGGCCCUUGCCCUCAAUUAGUCCAGAAAAUAAUCAUAAGCCUCUUGGGCAUCAGUAAAACAAUGGUGCUUAGCUCAUCAAUAUUAUAAAUAUCAUUAAAACUCGAGUUGAGUAUAAAUGUAGUUGAGUUCACAAAAUAAUAUAAUUCCAUUGGAGUGAGUUAAAAUAAUAUUUGAAUUGGUGAGGAAAAUGGUGAUGUAAUUCACAAAAUAUUUCAAAUUUUUUGCACGAAGCCCAAAUCAUGGUAUAAAACAAUAAAUCUUUAUUAAAUACGCGGUAAAAUAUCAACCGGGAUGGACCACGUCACAAUCCCCAAUAGUAAAUGACCCCGCAUUCGUCAUACAACGCGUGUCUCGUCUCAACUUAGCAGUAUGUUGUGCAAUUUCGGGUUUUAAACCCUCAUUGUAUCAUUUAAAAUUAUUACUCACCUCAAGACGGUCCAACGUCUACUCCACCAUGCCCUUGCCGCUCGAAUUUACCUCUUCGCGCGUAGAAUCUGGUCAAAACCACAAUGAAUACUACUAUAGGCUAAGGGAAUAUAACCCAUUCGAAAAGACUCGAAACAUAUCGAAAUUCAAGAAAUUCGCAAAACCCGAGCCCCGGGCUUACUUAUCGAAAAAUUAUGAAAGUCACAUCACCAGAUUCCCCGUCUCGCCACGAGUCCGUACGUGUAAAAUUUACUAAAAUUGGAGUUCAAAUGACCCCUCAAAUUUUCAAAUCUUAUUUUCAAAUCCCUAGGCCUAAAUCCUCAAUUUACUCCUCAAAAACAUGUAAUCUAAUCGGAUUAUUCGACUAUAAUUCAAUAUUAUGGAGUAGAUAUAAUCACAAGUGACUUACCUCAAGAUUUCCUAAGAUUUCUUGCUAAAAAUCGCCCAAAAUCCUAGCUUGGAAGUCAAAAAAAAAUGACCAAACUCGGAAUGCUCUUAAUUAAAUCUGUCCAAAAAUUCGGUACUGUUCAUAAAAUGCAGCAACUUUUUAAAGAAAAUUGCAGCACAACUAAUUUUCACUAAAAUGGCUCUAACUGCAUCAUACGAAUUCGGAAUUCGACAAUUCUUUUUCCUAUGGCUCCGUAAUUUUGAUACAGAUCUAGUGGUUCAAACAAAAAGGAAUUUGAAUCUCAUUUUCUUAGUGCAAUAUCAAUUUCGCUCCUUAAAUAAUUAACUCACAUUUCGCAUCAAAAACCCAAUCGCGACUUGAUGAAAUUAAACCAAAAUUUUCAGAUCAGUCCUAUANNNNNNNNNNNNNNNNNNNNNNNNNNNNNNNNNNNNNNNNNNNNNNNNNAUUGAUGAAAUUAAACCAAAAUUUCUAGAUCAGUCCUAUAAUUCAUGAUUAAAAUUCUCGAAGUCUCUAAAUCAAAUUUGGAUCUCUAGAACUAAAAAUAGACCUUUGGAUCAUUACAUUAUGCUCAAAACGGCAAAAAUCUUCCAAAAAUGACCCGUUGGGCAUCCGAAACACACCCGAGGCCCCUGGGACACCGAUCAAUAACACCAACCAGUCCCAAAAUACAUUACAGACUUGUUCAAGCCCUAAAAAAAAAUCAAAAAACGCGAAAAUGAAUCAAUCUCCAAUCCAAGUUUUAUGAACUUUAGAAUUUCCAACUUCUAUUUUCGAUGCCGAAACCUAUCAAAUCACGUCCGAUUGACUUAAAAUUUUGCACACAAGUCCAAAAUGACAUAAAGAAGUUACAGAAAUUCUUAGAAUUCCAUUCUGACCAUCGGAUCAAAAUUUCACCUAUCAACCGGAAAUCGCCAAAAUACUAACAUCGCCAAAAUAAGCUAAUUUCAUCACCGGACCUCUAAAAUUAACUCCGAUUGCGCUCCUAGGCCUUAAAUCAUUCCCCGAAACUAACUGAAUCAUCGAAAUUCAAUUCUAACUCACAAGUCAAUAUCCGGUCGGCUUUUCCAAAUUAAUUCUUCCUUAGAGAGACCAAUUGUUCCAUUUCCUACCAAACUCGAUCCGAAUUGAUUCCAAUUCACCAAUUACACAUAUUGAAACAUGAAUAAGCAUUUAGCGGGGAAUACGGGGCGAAAAUACAGGAAACGAUGGUUCGGGUCGUUACACGUUCCUACUAGAGAUCCGACAUUAGGUUUUGUUAUACUAGGUUUAAAACCUGGGUGUUUGUUCUAGACCUGGCUUACCCGAGUGGACAACUCGAGCCAAGGAUCGGAGCUAUGUACCGGUAACCAAAAGGCCAUCCAAUUUUGUAACUCCUCUGAACCUCAUUAUAUUUUAGGAUAUGACACCAACAGAAAGAAGUCACGACCAGCGUGCACUCCUCAGGAGAGAGAAAAGAGGGGUUUAGUAGCAGUUUAUAUAUAUAUAUUUCAAAUAAUAUCAAAGAGGUAAAAGUAACAUUUAGCACAUUAAAUCCAAAAAAUGGAACAAAAAUCAGAUAAUAAAUAAACCGAUAUAACAAUUAUUCCAAGCCCUGAACCAAUGGUUCUAGGUUAAUGUCUCCAGCACAGUCGCCAGAGCUGUCACACCUCCUUUUUUAUACACCCGCAAGGGGCGUAAGAGAGUUUUUCCACUUAAAGGACAAUCAGAAUGGGAUUUAAUACUAGAAUUCAGAGUCGCCACUUGAGAGAUCAAUGGUGUCCCAAGUCAUCGGUUGAAUCCAGAACCUAGGAAAAAUAUGACUCUAUUAACAGUGCGCGAACCAGAAAUCCGAGUAAGGAAUUCUGUUAACCUGGGAGAAUAUGUUAGGCAUUCUCGAGUUCCGUGAUUCUAGCACAAUCGCUUAACUUUCAUAUUUGGUUUUAUUUGAUUUCAAAACAUGUUUUAGCUUAUGUGCUUGUAAUAGUAAACCGCUUUUAUUAUUUUUAAUGAGAAUUGCAACAUCGUGAAAACGUAUCUCGGACCACGUCACAAAAAUGCACCCGUGAUUGUUGACACAUUUCGACUUCGUUGAUAUUUGGAUUUUGGGUCACAUAAAUGCGCACCCGAUUUUAGGAAAGUAAUGUUAUUAAAAUGCGUGCCUAAAGAGACUAACACGUUAUUAUCUUUGGAGAAGGCCGUGAAAUUCGCUAAACGGCUCAUCCUUAAACCUAAGUAUUUUAAAAUAACCUUUUAUCGAGGGCCCCACAAUUUACAUUUUUAAUUUGACGAGGCUCAUCUCAUUUUAUUUAAAGGUUAAUACUAAAGCGACUGUGAUUUUUCUAUUUUUGUGCGUCUCUAAAAUAAAAGGAAAGGUCCUAAAAAUUAUUAUUGCUUAAUCAUUAACUACGUUUAGGUCCACAAACUCAAAACAGUCCGCGUGCGUAAAUCAUAACCCUGGUCCGGUACAACAUGGACCAGUCUCAGGCUUGGACCCAAGUCUUCAAACAAAAACGCAAAUCAGGCCUGGGUCGUUCAUUUAGGCAAUACAGAUUACGCCAUUUGCAAAUGGACUGUCGAGCCCCAACAAAGUUUCAUUUCACUUAAGAUAGGUACCCAUUGAAGUGGUUUCCAAUUAUCCUACUCAAGGAGACAGUGAAUGGUGUGAUUCUAGUUUCACACCUAAGUUCUGUUAAUUGACGCUCGGGUUUGUCUAUGGGGACACUCACGCAAUUUGAAUUUUAAAACGGUGAACAGAUGUGUUAAGCUCAAUUUCAACCCCCAAAUCCCAACUAACAAAUUUAUAUAUGCCUACAACUACAAUACCCUGUUAUACCUUCUACCUAAUUAACAGACAAACUCAAAUAGCCAAUUAUCUUUGAAUUCGAAGCCUUCAUCCUACUGGAUCUCAAAUCAGUCCAAAACGGUUCAUCCAAGGGCUAAUUAAUCAUAGAAUGAAAAUGACAACAAAUUACCAAAAGCACUCCCACAUUUCUAAGUCAUUUUUAUUAAACAAAUUUAUGAAAUAACUGACAGGAAAUCAACUAAAGCCAACAUAAACCAUUAUAUUAAUCUAGUCAUGAAGUUAAGAGCACUUUGUGACGACCCUGCUGGUCUUCUUUAGAUUUUAUGCCCGUUUCCCAUUUAUGCUCCCCCUAAGUUCAUUUCUGCUAUUUUGGUUUGCGGGGAUGUUCGGUAAUAGAAUUCCGAGUGUUUUGGGACACUUAGUCCCCAAAAUGAGAGCUUAAGUGUUGGAAAAUAGUCUAUAAUCAGACCAGUGUCAAGACUACCUCGGAAUGGAAAACCGAUGGUUCCAUUAGCUCCGUUAGGUGAUUUCGGGUGGGGAGCAUGUUCGGAAUGUAUUUUGGAUGUUCGAAGCUCAAUUAGGCUAUGAAUGCCGAAAGUUUGAAAUUGAAGUUUCGGUCCGAUAGUGAACUUUUGACCGAGGGUCGGAAUAGAAUUUCAAGAGUUUGCAGUGGCUUCUUUAGGUGAUUUAGGUUAUGUCUGCAAAUUUUCAGGUCAUUCGGACGUGUUUUGGAUAGGUUUUGAGUCGAAAGCAAGUUUGGUUAAGUUUUGAAAUUUCUAAGUCAAAAUCAUUGCUUAAUUCGUGUUUCCGGCAUUGUUUUAGGUGGUUUAUGGAUUGUUACAAGUCCAAAUGAUGUUGUGGAAUAUGUUCGUAGGUUUCGUUGAGUUCCCGAGGGCCUCGGGUGUGUUUCGGAUGCUCAACGGAGCAAUUCCGAAACUUAAAGUGUUGCAGAUUUCUGCCGUUGGUGUUGCAGACAAAUCCUUCUAUGCGAUCGCAUAGACUCUCCUGCGAUCGCAUAAAGUCCUUAGAGCUGGGCAUGUUUUCCUUCAAUGCGAUCACAUUAAAUCUUUUGUUUUCGCAUACCUUUUUUCCCUCAUACAUUGCGAUCGUGUUGCUGUUGCAGACAAAUCCUUCUAUGCGAUCGCAUAGACUCUCCAGCGAUCGCAUAGAGUCCUUAGAGCUGGGCCGGCUUUCCUUCAAUGCGAUCGCAUUAAACCUUCUGCAAUCGCAUACCCUUGUUCCCUCAUACACUGCGAUCGGAUCCCCUUACCCACGUUCGCAUAGAGUAAUUUAGGACCUGAGCAUCAAGGCCAAUUUCUUAUACGCGAUCGCAUAGCCUUGAAUGCGACCGCAUAGCCUUGAAUGCGACCGCAUAGCCUUGAAUGCGACCGCAUAUCCCUGUUUGGUUCUUCCCUGCGAUCUCACUCCUUUGGAUGCGUUCGCAUAGUUCAUUUUCACGGCCUUCAGAAUUCCUUCUACGCGACUGCAUUCCAUUUCACGCGUUCGCAUAGAGCAAAUCACUGGGCAGAAUAUAAACAUUUCAAAACGAACCCUUCUUCCAUUUUUNNNNNNNNNNNNNNNNNNNNNNNNNNNNNNNNNNNNNNNNNNNNNNNNNNNNNNNNNNNNNNNNNNNNNNNNNNNNNNNNNNNNNNNNNNNNNNNNNNNNNNNNNNNNNNNNNNNNNNNNNNNNNNNNNNNNNNNNNNNNNNNNNNNNNNNNNNNNNNNNNNNNNNNNNNNNNNNNNNNNNNNNNNNNNNNNNNNNAAUCUAAUCUCGAAUUCAAGCUUUAAUUUCGGAUUUUGAAUGAAAAUCGGGGUAAAGUUCUUAAACCUAACUUUGAUGAUUUGAAGGGGAAUUUGACCUUCGAUUUGGGAGAUUUUAUAUGGUUAGACUCGUGAGAGUAUGAGGUUUCUGAAAAUAUGAAAAUUAUUCUAUUCCGAGACGUUAGCCUGAGGGGCAUUUUGGUCAUUUCACCUAUUCUCGCGCCUUACAUUUAAUUUUAAUAAUGUAAUCAGUUGCCUUCGAUGUUAUAUAAAUAUGUAAUUUGUUUGACUAGAUUUUGGCCACUCGGAGUAGGAUACUCGUGGCAAGGGCAUUGUUUCUUAGCGGUUUUGUACCAAUUCGAGGUGAGUGGCUUAUCUAACUUUGUGUAGGGGACCUCUCCUCUUAGGAUAUCUUUGCCAUUGUUUAAAUGCCUUGUGCGCGAGGUGACGGGUGUGUACUUGUGCUAGUUGUUGAAAAUUAUAUAUUAAUUGUUGUUUAAAGGCCUUGUGCGCGAGGUGACGGGCGUGUACUUGUGCUAAUUGUUGAAAAUUCACCUUACACGACUUAUUUAGACUGUGUUUCUUCGCGUAUUUAACUAUUAAAAUUGUGAUUUCACUUGCUUAGCUUAGGAAAAGCAUGUUAGUAAUUUAUUUUCUCUAUCUGACUAAAUUGCAAAUACCAACCCUCUUUGUGAGCAUGGUAGGCCUAGACCUAUACGUUGUUGCUAUAUUUGGUUUCUUUAUAUUAAAUAUUGACUUGUUGUGAAGCGUUUACGUUUGGGACUAUGGGUUUAAUUCCCGGGAGAUCCCCCUAUUAUUGGUAUGACGGUCUACGGGUUCAAUUCCAGGGAGAUCCUAUGAUUCUAGCAUGACAGACUACAUGUUCAAUUCCCGGGAGAUCCUCCGAUAUUGAUAUAAAGGACUGUGGGUUCAAUUCCCGGAGAUCCUCUGUUAUUGGUAUAAAGGAUUGCGGGUCCAAUUCCUGGGAGAUCCUCUGAUAUUGAUAUAAAGGACUGUGGGUUCAAUUCCCGGAGAUCCUCUGUUAUUAGUAUAAAGAACUGCGGGUUCAAUUCCUAGAGAUCCUCUAAUAUUGGUAUGAGGACUACCGGUUCAAUUCCCGGAGAUCCUCGGAUAUUGAUAAGGUGGAUUGCGGGUUCGAUUCCCGGAGCUCCAUGUAGAGAUCCUGACUGUUGAGUGAAUUGCUUUGUGUUGUAGUUUGUACUUGUAGCCGCUCUAAUUUUUUAAUUACGGUCUUGUUAGAUAUUCUGUUUUAUUGUGUUAUAUUCUGUUAUUUAUUUUUAUAUUAUUUCUUAUAUUCCUCUCACUGGGGCCUCGAUCUUCCUCGUCACUACUCCAUUGAGGUUAGGCUUGGUACUUACUGAGUACCGCUGUGGUGUACUCAUGCAUAAGGCUGGAUCCGGUUCCGGUUCUAUUGUACUUGUAGCCGCUUUGUUUUUAAUUACUGUCUUGUCAGAUAUUCGGAUUUAUUUCAUUAUCUACUGUCUAGUUAUUUUUACAUUAUUUCUUAUGUUCUUCUCAGUAGGGCCUCAACCUUCCUCGUCACUACUCCAUCGAGGUUAGGCUUGGCACUUACUGAGUACCGCUGUGGUGUACUCAUGCUACUCUUCUGCACACUAUUGUUGUGCAGAUCUAGGUACCCUUGAUCAGGCGCGCUAUUAGGGAUUUGGAGUUGCUUUGGAGGCUUGAGGUAUGCUUCUGCCGCGUCUGCAGAGCCGACGAGCCUUCCUCUAUUCUACAUGUAGAUUAUAGUUUUCUGCCGCAUUCUCAUUUGAUUUAGAUACUUCGGGAUGUUAGAGCACUGUAGUAUGUUCACCCUUAGCCUGUGUUGCCCGUGGGUUUCCGGGUCUUGGAGGUUAUUAUGUUAUAUUGAGUUGACAUGUAUGUGUCAGGCAGCACUUUAUACAUUAUCUUACGUCAUUUAUGUUUUGAAUUAUUGCUUCCGGAAAGACUGUCGAAUUUCCGCAAUGUGUCAGGCUUACCUAGUCGCAAAGACUGGGUGCCGUCAUGAAAGGUUCACGAUUGGUGAACUAGGGUAGUGACACACUUGUUCUCAACAUAAAAAGAAUUUGUAACGUUUUUUAGUAUUGCAGUCCACUUAUUACAAAACCAAAUAGAAAUACACAUACAUCAGUGACUUAAGUGCUUAGCUACAUGAAUCAGGAAAAAAAACUCAAUUAAAAUACAUGUUUCAAUUCUUUAUAUAUUCAUUCUUCAUAGUUUUAGCUCACAAUUAUCAAAGUCAAGUUGUGUACCUGGAAAUUAAUUUACAAUGGAAGAAGCAGAAAGAUCAGCAACGGCAGUAACAAAUGUAAAAGCAAAUCGACAGUUACCAAGAACAAAUAGAGACAAAUUCAAGGGUAAACCACAGUCCAAAUGCCCAAGAAGAAGGCACCAGGAAUAAACAGAGCCAGAUUCGUGGCUAAACCACAGUCCAAAUGCCCAGGAAGAAGGAAACUUAACCAAAACACUGAAUCUACUCAGAAUUAGACUAUGCAUUCAUAGAACACCUUUUACCAAUCAAAUAAUACCCAGCGACACUCGAACAAAUCACCAAAUACCUUCAAAUGCACUAAAACCAAAGUACAGAACAGAAACUGAUAGAUUUGAACUGUUUCUGAUCUUAAAAUCAUAAUAACAGUAAUUGUUCAAUGGAAUAAUAACCUCUCUCAAAAUAUGUUCAAAAACUAAUAGCCUAAAUAACUCUAAAACUCUCAAAAAUUGAUCUCUCAAACUCUAAAUAUGAUGUCUGCCUCUAAACUCUCUCUUUAGGUUUCAAAACUCUAUGUAAAACUAUCAAUAUUUUUUUCCAAUAUUUUCAAGCUCUAUCAAAUUAUCUCUCCCACUCUAAAAUCUCUCAAAAUGCUCCUUUCAAACUGCCACUAAAACUUAUUGCAAUCUCUGAAGCUCUCUUCCCGUGUCUUUCUGUAUCUCUCUAUAUUUAUAUCCAACCCUUAAACCCUUUCCAGCCUCUUCUUUUUUUUUUCUUACAAUUGUACCUCUAGACCUUUUAUUAUUAUCCCCAUAUUUUUUUUUUACUUUUCAGCUUGCAUAUCUUUACUAUGUGUACCCCUUUAACCUUUCAUUAUUAACCUAUAUUUUUUCUGAUUUCUAAUUUAGUAAAAGCACUAGGCCAAACCAACAAUCCCCUUCUUCUUUUGUUAAUUCAAAACGUUAUUUUUACUGGCAACUUCAAUCCUUAAUUAAACCCCAACUACUCACAUUAUCUCCUAUGAGGACUAUUCACAUGUUAAGGCUUCAAAAUAGAUCAGCAGAUUCAAAAGAGAUGCAAAGAUUUUGAUAAUUGAAAAUAAACUAAUCUUGAGUCAAACAUACAAACAUAUAUAAAAUCAUGUAAACCAACAUUCAAACAGAAAUUGCUAACAACUUAUCGUGUUUAACUAAGCAAUGGCUUAAACGAUUAAAACUUAAAGUAAAUUGACAUAAAAUGUUCACAUCUGUUGUUCUCAGCAAAUUGAAACACAAACAGACCAAAACUUCAUAUAAUAAAAGGACCAUCAGAUGAUAAGAAUCGUGUAUUUGAACCCAUGGGAAAGGGAACACAGAAACACUUACCAGAAUCGAACCCUUUAUUCUGUUCCAAAGACCUUCCUACUCUAUUGGUUGACACGGACUCCAAUCGUAUGUUUUUGUUUAAUCGAAAACACACACUUAUAGCUAGGUUUUGGGGAAUUUGGUCUCUGACAGGCAUAGACGAAGGAAGGGGAGGGGUUCUAAGGGGGGUGGGGUAUGUUUGGGAACUUAUAUACCUAUGGCGGAAUUGAAUCACGAUCGUCAGAUCAACUGAGAUCAACGGCCUGGAUCAAUUGGUUUAUGGGAAACGAGGUCGUUUGAUCUCAUUGGAGGACUGGGUCGAUAUGGCGAAAUUGGGUGGGGUUAUGUGGGAAAGCUUUGAGUCGUUAGAUGAGUGAGAUUCAAUGGCU